ACCAUAUCCAUGGCGUCAGGUGCCUGCGCAAGCGGGAGAAUCGGGAAUCCGGCGAACAUCCGGAACGUGCCCAACGCUGUGACGGGGACGAUCGUACCAGAGGGAAUGCGCAUGUGCCCGGCCCGUGCCACUGGACCCGCAGGGGGCCGGGAAGGCGGUGCGAUCGGUUGAUCCGCAGUCAGAAGACCGGCCUGACAUGAUAGACUGGA
rnacentral:ncRNA from 2 species